UACGAAGGGGGCUAGCGUUGUUCGGAUUUACUGGGCGUAAAGGGCGCGUAGGCGGCCUUGUCAGUCAGGCGUGAAAGCCCCGGGCUCAACCUGGGAACGGCGCUUGGGACGGCGAGGCUGGAGUUCGGGAGAGGAGAGUGGAAUUCCCAGUGUAGAGGUGAAAUUCGUAGAUAUUGGGAAGAACACCGGUGGCGAAGGCGGCUCUCUGGACCGACACUGACGCUGAGGCGCGAAAGCGUGGGGAGCAAACAGG
rnacentral:rRNA from 1 species